UAUGUUGUUAGAUUUUUCAUGUUUUAAUUAGUAAUUUUUGAUAAAAAUGUGUAUUAAGGACUAAAUUAAGAAAAGUGUAAGUUGAGGGACUAAAAUGUGAAAUAAAUAACAUGCAAGGACUUAUAUGAGCUUAGUGUAUAUUCGGUUAAGCUAUUGUGCAAUGAAAGUUUGUUUAUUUUGUAUUUUUGUGAAAUAGGGACUAAUUUGUGAAAAAUGUGAAAUGUUAGGGCCAAAAGUGUAAUUUACCCAUUUAUGUGCUUUUGGAUUUAAUUGAAUGAAUAUGUGGUUAAAUUAGUUAAAUUUGAACUUAUUUAGAUCAAGAACAGAAGAAAACGGAAUUAGAUUGGGGGAAGUUGAAAGUAGUCGAGUAGUCGACUGUGUCCGUCGAUAUCCGAGAUUUUGGAAUUCGUUAUGAGCUCGGGGAUCGUCAGAAAGCCUUAUCACACUAUCGACAGUUACUUUCGGUACUUUAUUAAGUUGUUUUUGAAUAUAUGGCAUGAAUAGCAUAGUCGAAAUGUUGAUUUUGGGUCAAUUUGUAUAUGAAAUUAAUAGCCAUGCGAAAAUGACUUAUCUCCUUUUGUUUGAGUUUGGUAUUGAUGCAUAUAAUGUUGGAUUGAUUCGGCUAUGAGAUAAACUAAAUACCGAAUGUAUUUAUAAAGAACAAUAUUAAGUUGAAUGUGUGUGUGGAUUGGUAU